UGCAGUCGAGCGGAACGAGUUAUCUGAACCUUCGGGGGACGAUAACGGCGUCGAGCGGCGGACGGGUGAGUAAUGCCUGGGAAAUUGCCCUGAUGUGGGGGAUAACCAUUGGAAACGAUGGCUAAUACCGCAUAAUAGCUUCGGCUCAAAGAGGGGGACCUUCGGGCCUCUCGCGUCAGGAUAUGCCCAGGUGGGAUUAGCUAGUUGGUGAGGUAAGGGCUCACCAAGGCGACGAUCCCUAGCUGGUCUGAGAGGAUGAUCAGCCACACUGGAACUGAGACACGGUCCAGACUCCUACGGGAGGCAGCAGUGGGGAAUAUUGCACAAUGGGCGCAAGCCUGAUGCAGCCAUGCCGCGUGUAUGAAGAAGGCCUUCGGGUUGUAAAGUACUUUCAGCAGUGAGGAAGGUGGUGUACUUAAUACGUGCAUCAUUUGACGUUAGCUGCAGAAGAAGCACCGGCUAACUCCGUGCCAGCAGCCGCGGUAAUACGGAGGGUGCGAGCGUUAAUCGGAAUUACUGGGCGUAAAGCGCAUGCAGGUGGUUUGUUAAGUCAGAUGUGAAAGCCCGGGGCUCAACCUCGGAAUUGCAUUUGAAACUGGCAGACUAGAGUACUGUAGAGGGGGGUAGAAUUUCAGGUGUAGCGGGUGAAAUGCGUAGAGAUCUGAAGGAAUACCGGUGGCGAAAGGCGGCCCCCUGGACAGAUACUGACACUCAGAUGCGAAAGCGUGGGGAGCAAACAGGAUUAGAUACC
rnacentral:rRNA from 1 species